AUGAUAAAGAAAGGGGCAUUCAGGAGAUCAAAAUUUUGGGAUCGGAGAGCUAGCUUUAAGCUCCUUCAAAAGGUGUGUAAUUGGGUUUCAUAGGAUUUGGAGAGAACUUUGGCAAUCAAUUCUGAAAGUCAGUGUUUAUAUUCGUGAAUUGGAUUUUUUUUGUAAUAAAGUAACGACUGGUACUCUAGAUUGUUUUGUGAAAUUGGAAAAACUUCUAUGAUUGAAACUCAGAGGUGUCUAGAGGGUUGAGUAUGUCGAGUGCAUGCAAAACUUUGUAUUAAUCUGAUAAAACAGAUAGAAGAUAAUUGACAAUUAGUGUAAAGAAGUAUCGUAAGUUAGCAGAUUGGGGUUGUUUAGGGUUUUUGUAAUAUUUGGAGAUCUAUUGGCUGGAAUAAGGUGACUUUUGGCGUGGUAAGUCGAGGACUUCUAGGCGGCGAUCAAGAUACAUCAGUGUGGAUUAACGGCAUUUUUUUGCAACUUGUAAAUUAGAUUGGAUUGAAACUUCUUGAGCAUUUAGAAGGCUUGCAAAGACAUUAGUGGUAGAAAUUUAUAACAAUCGGACAAUCAGAUUGAAAAUUAUAGCUUGCUGAAGCUCGCUGUUCAGAGUUA
rnacentral:lncRNA from 1 species